GGGGGGGCUUAGCGCCCCCCAACUCUU
rfam:Crassostrea gigas strain 05x7-T-G4-1.051#20 contig3779, whole genome shotgun sequence.